rnacentral:rRNA from 1 species
CAGCGCCACGAGUGGGAAUCACAUUUAUUGGGCCUAAAGCAUCCGUAGCCGGUUCUACAAGUCUUCCGUUAAAUCCACCUGCUUAACAGAUGGGCCGCGGAGGAUACUAUAAAACUAGGAGGCAGGAGAGGCAAGCGGUACUCAGUGGGUAGGGGUAAAAUCCGUUGAUCCAUUGAAGACCACCAGUGGCGAAGGCGGCUUGCCAGAAUGCGCUCGACGGUGAGGGAUGAAAGCUGGGGGAGCAAACCGGAUUAGAUACCCGAGUAGUCC